CGGGUGAGUAAUACAUCGGAACGUACCCAGUAGUGGGGGAUAGCUCGGCGAAAGCCGGAUUAAUACCGCAUACGACCUACGGGUGAAAGCGGGGGAUCGCAAGACCUCGCGCUACUGGAGCGGCCGAUGGCAGAUUAGGUAGUUGGUGGGGUAAAAGCUCACCAAGCCGACGAUCUGUAGCUGGUCUGAGAGGACGACCAGCCACACUGGGACUGAGACACGGCCCAG
rnacentral:rRNA from 1 species